rnacentral:misc_RNA from 1 species
AAUAACUUGGCCAGCCCAAAGUCACUCACGUGUCCAACCAACCUUUCGUCUAGCAAGACAUUACUAGGCUUCAAGUCACUAUGUACAAUGACUGUUGCAUAACCAUGAUGGAGAUACUCCAAAGCUGAUGCAACAUCAAUCAUUAUGUCUAAUCGUUGGACUAUGUCCAAAAAGUGAUCAUCAGAAUGUAACCAUUUCUCCAGGCUCCCAUUGGGCAUGUACUCUAGAAGUAAUGCUUUAAAAUCCAUGUUAGUACAACUGCUGAUAACUUUGACAAGAUUUCUAUGGCGAAGGUUGCGUAGAACUUCACAUUCAGUAUCAAAACUCUUGAAUGCACCUUCAAUCUGUAAAUUGAACACUUUGAUUGCCAAAGUCAUCCCAUUUUCAAACAUGGCCUUGUAGACAGAGCCAAAACUUCCAGAGCCUAGCAAGUUGCAUUG